CGAAAGCGAGUCGUUAACAGGGCGUCAAGUUGCGUGGGGUAGACCCGAAGCCGGGUGAUCUAUCCAUGUCCAGGGUGAAGUCUCGGUAACACGAGAUGGAGGCCCGAACCAUUGUAGGUUGAAAACUGCUUGGAUGAGGUGUGGAUAGGAGUGAAAAGGCUAAUCAAACUCGGUGAUAGCUGGUUUUCUCCGAAAUAUAUUUAGGUAUAGCCUCACGAGUUGACUGACGGAGGUAAAGCACUGUUUGGGCUAGGGGUCCCACCGGAUUACCAACCCCAUACAAACUCUGAAUGCCGUCAAGUUCUAUCGUGGGAGUCAGACUGUGGGAGAUAAGUUCCAUGGUCGAGAGGGUAAGAGCCCAGACCGUCAGCUAAGGUCCCUAAACUGCACUAAGUGGAAAAGGAUGUGAAAUUGCAGAUACAACCAGGAGGUUGGCUUAGAAGCAGCAAUCCUUUAAAGAUAGCGUAAUAGCUCACUGGUCUAGUGAAUUUUGCGCCGAAAAAUAUAACGGGG
rnacentral:rRNA from 1 species